AUGAUUGCCUCCAAUAUUGCCAUCACCCUAGAAUCCAUUGCAGAGAAAGCCUCCACCAUGACAGACCACCUUCAAGUUCAGCAACAGAAGUUGGAGCUACCGCCGGGGUUUAGGUUCCACCCAACGGAUGAGGAGAUCAUAAAAUUCUAUGUGGUCCCCAAGGUGCUCGAUGAAGCCUUCGUCGCUGCGGCGAUUGAGGAUGUGAACCUCAACAAGUACGAGCCAUGGGAGCUACCGGAGAAGGCGAAGAUGGGGGAAAAGGAGUGGUACUUUUACUGCCGAAAGGAUCGCAAGUACCCCACCGGGAUACGAACGAACCAGGCGAAGAAUGCUGGCUAUUGGAAGGCCACCGGAAAGGACAAGGAGAUCUUCCACCCGCCGCUCACACUCAUCGGCAUGAAGAAGACGCUCGUCUUCUACAAGGGCAGGGCACCUAGGGGGGAGAAGACCAACUGGAUCAUGCAUGAGUAUAGGCUUGAGAGCAACAAGCAGCUAACUUCCAACCCGUCCACCGCAACCCGCACCGUCACCAUCACCAACGCGUCUUCCAAGGAACAGUGGGUGGUUUGUAGGAUCUUCCAUAAGAGCGCCGGACUGAAGAAGGUGGUGAUGCCGUCAUAUGUCAUGCCAAUGUCCAUCGGAGCGGAACAUCAGCAGGGGUUCGCCGACUUAGAUACAUUGCCUCCUCUCAUGGGCUAUGAGAUGUCGUCAUCGCUAGCAAAUCCAAUGUUGCUUCCUACAACUUCUCCAUACCAAUUGCGCGACAUCGGUGCUGGCUCAUCGAUAAUGGGUAGCAUGGCGCUUCCUAUUAUGAAUGACCACUACAUCGGGAACCACCACCAGCAGAUGAUGUCAGACCCAACACCACCAUUGUCGUUCUACCAACAACAUCAGCAGAUGAUGAUGUAUGUGGGUGCAGAUCGGGGUUUCAUGGUCGGGGCUGAGCCUGGGUGUGGGCCAUCGUCGAUGGUGUCACAGGAACAUGCUGUGACCGGGCUGAGCAACAACUACCAGGGGAACGCCGCCGCAACAGCAGUUGGCAAGACCUCAUCGAUGAACAUGGGUAUGGAUGACAUGUGGAAGUACUGA
rnacentral:rRNA from 1 species